rnacentral:rRNA from 1 species
GAUGAACGCUGGCGGCGUGCCUAAUACAUGCAAGUCGAGCGAACAGACGAGUAGCUUGCUCCUCUGACUUUAGCGGCGGACGGGUGAGUAACACGUGGAUAACCUACCUAUAAGACUGGGAUAACUUCGGGAAACCGGAGCUAAUACCGGAUAACAUGCUGAACCGCAUGGUUCAACAGUGAAAGACGGUCUUGCUGUCACUUAUAGAUGGAUCCGCGCCGCAUUAGCUAGUUGGUAAGGUAACGGCUUACCAAGGCAACGAUGCGUAGCCGACCUGAGAGGGUGAUCGGCCACACUGGCACUGAGACACGGUCCAGACUCCUACGGGAGGCAGCAGUAGGGAAUCUUCCGCAAUGGGCGAAAGCCUGACGGAGCAACGCCGCGUGAGUGAAGAAGGUCUUCGGAUCGUAAAACUCUGUUAUUAGGGAAGAACAAAUGUGUAAGUAACUAUGCACGUCUUGACGGUACCUAAUCAGAAAGCCACGGCUAACUACGUG